rnacentral:rRNA from 1 species
GACGAACGCUGGCGGCGUGCUUAACACAUGCAAGUCGAACGAGAAAGCCCUUCGGGGUAAGUACAGUGGCGAACGGGUGAGUAACACGUGGGCAACCUGCCCCGGAGAGCGGGACAACCCGAGGAAACUCGGGCUAAUACCGCAUGAUGCGUCUCCACUUAAGUGGAGCCGCCAAAUGGUAGCUUCGGCCUCCGCUCUGGGAUGGGCCCGCGCCGGAUUAGCUAGUUGGUUGGGGUAAUGGCCCACCAAGGCGACGAUCCGUAGCUGGUCUGAGAGGACGAUCAGCCACACUGGGACUGAGACACGGCCCAGACUCCUACGGGAGGCAGCAGUGGGGAAUAUUGCACAAUGGGCGCAAGCCUGAUGCAGCAACGCCGCGUGAGGGAUGAAGGCCUUCGGGUUGUAAACCUCUUUUAGCAGGGAAGAAGCGAAAGUGACGGUACCUGCAGAAAAAGCACCGGCUAACUACGUGCCAGCCGCCGCAGUAA